CCACGUAGGGGCCUGACGUUGUUCGGAAUCAUUGGGCGUAAAGGGCGCGCAGGCGGCCGUCCAAGUCCGGUGUUAAAUGGUCGGGCUCAACCCGAUCAUGCGCUGGAAACUGGGCGGCUGGAGUCCCGGAGGGGAUGCCGGAAUUCCAGGUGUAGGGGUGAAAUCUGUAGAUAUCUGGAAGAACACCGAUGGCGAAGGCAGGCAUCUGGCCGGAGACUGACGCUGAGGCGCGAAGGCGCGGGGAGCGAACAGGUUUAGAUACCCUGGUAGUCCGCGCAGUAAACGAUGCGCACCAGGUGUCGGGCGGCAGCGCCCGGUACCGGAGCAAACGCGAUGAGUGCGCCGCCUGGGGAGUAUGCCCGCAAGGGUGAAACUCAAAUGAAUUGACGGGG
rnacentral:rRNA from 1 species